CUGCAGUCUACACGGACGGGCACACGAGCAGAGGUGUCAAAAUAUCAUUCCAUCGUAUUAUUCUUCGUAAAAAAUAAUAAUACAGUAAUAAUGCAGUUAUAACAUCAUGAAAUAAAAAUGAAAACGAGCUGAGCAUUUUUUUUUGGCCACACUUUCUCCUUCAGUGCAUGUGCUGCUCAUGCCUCGGCCACCUGGGGGCAGUAUAAGACUCAUUCCAAUAUAUUGUACAACACUCUAAGCUCCUCUUUUGGAUUCUCACGAUGGCAGUAAUCGUCAUUCUUUGCAGAGGAUAAAGAAUAUGUGCCUCCCUGUCGUGGGGGCCCACUUACUGGCUGGCGGGACGGUCCCGGCGGGUGCCUCGGUGGUCUCUGGUGACGAGAGAAAGGAAAGUCACAGUGCAAUGUGUUGAUCAAUAAGAGGAUCUUAUUCUUCUUUUCGUGAAACGUUACCGAUCUUCUGGGCUUGGACGACACCUGUGAGUGCUGUGGAACACACACACACACACACACACAAAAAAAAGAGGUAAGUUUUAUUUAUUGAUCGGGAAAAAAACCCAAAAACAAACACGAGAGCGACCGGAGCAUCAUGAAGCGAGCUGAUUUGUGCGUUCUGUUUGGCAGCGUUACCGUGGAGACCGCAGAGGAGCAGGAACACUGAAAGGUUGCCCAUCGCAAUGGUUGAGCUUGACAAACGAGGAAAGAGGAAAAGGAUUAUCUACAAUCGUGAGCAUGCAUAUCACACACAAGCCAGAAACAAGCUUCGAGGGGAAGCAGCCAGUCAGGAGGCAGUAGGUGAGGAUCCCCAGAGCCCAGCUAUCGAUGCAGGGCUCCACCCUGAUCCAAAGAGGCUCCUUCUCCUCCUUCUCCUCUGUGACAUCACACUCCGUAGCCUUCUCCUGCUCCUUGACGGGUUCCAC